CAAACAGCCUUUCUAAAGGCUACAAUCAAACUGCUGAAAGUGUGUU
rfam:Takifugu rubripes chromosome, Chr_21